GUGACUUCUAGCUGAGAAACCGCCUAACAGACGUCUCGGGAAGGGCACAAGGAAGCUUCCACGGGGCCAGGCCUGCUUUCCAAGGGGAGAAAUGAGACAUGGGGAAAGCACACGGGAGCAGUGGGCUGAAUCACAAGAGCCAUGAUAAUC